rnacentral:rRNA from 1 species
AGCGGCGGACGGGUGAGUAAUGCGUGGGAAUAUGCCCUUUGGUAUGGAAUAGCCCCUGGAAACGGGGAGUAAUACCGUAUGUGCCCUACGGGGAAAAGAUUUAUCGCCAAAGGAUUAGCCCAUGUUGGAUUAGCUGGUUGGUGAGGUAAAAGCUCACCAAGGCGACGAUCUAUAGCUGGUUUGAGAGGAUGAUCAGCCACACUGGGACUGAGACACGGCCCAGACUCCUACGGGAGGCAGCAGUGGGGAAUAUUAGACAAUGGGCGAAAGCCUGAUCUAGCCAUGCCGCGUGAGUGAAGAAGGCCCUAGGGUUGUAAAGCUCUUUCAGAUGUGAGGAUGAUGACAGUAACAUCAGAAGAAGCCCCGGCUAACUUCGUGCCAGCAGCCGCGGUAAUACGAAGGGGGCUAGCGU